UUUCCGUAGGUGAACCUGCGGAAGGAUCAUUAAAGAGUUGUUGGUAGCUUGCUACCUCCUCUCCACCCUUUGUUUACAUUACCAUUGUUGCUUUGGCAGGUCCGUCUCCGGACCACCGGCUUUGGCUGGUCAGUACCUGCCAGAGGACCCAAAACUCUGUUUAAUCAUAUUGUCUGAGUACUAUAUAAUAGUUAAAACUUUCAACAACGGAUCUCUUGGUUCUGGCAUCGAUGAAGAACGCAGC
rnacentral:misc_RNA from 1 species